CAAGCUUUUAUUUAGUUUCACCUGUCCCGUUGUCUGUAAUCAAAUCUUGCAACUUAAAUUUGAUCCACUUCCCGGUUUCCGAUUGAGCUGAAAUUUAGAAUGCAUGUAUAGAUCGGAUGACAAUGCAAUGUUAUUGUGACAUAGAGCUGAUCUGAUGAUGGAGCCGGAAGGUGGCCAUAGGAACUCCGUAAUUAAACGACGCAACCCCAUCGAGUUUGGGCUCAUUGGAUUAGUCUUGACGAGUACUUUGAUACUAAAUGGUAACCAGGGCCUGAUGAUGGAGCCGGAAAGUGGCCAUAGGAACUCCGUAAUUAAACGACGCAACCCCAUCGAGUUUGGGCUCAUUGGAUUAGUCUUGACGAGUACUUUGAUACUAAAUGGUAACCAGAGUCUGAUGAUGGAGCCGGAAAGUGGCCAUAGGAACUCCGUAAUUAAACGACGCAACCCCAUCGAGUUUGGUCUCGUUUGAUUCAUCUUGACGAGUCUUUGUGCUUUCGUCCCAUAUUAAUUAUAUAUGAUUGAUUGGAUGGAUGACCCAAUGCUAAGGUGAGCACGUGCCGAGGGCUGAAUGGUAUGAGGGUGUAUAAACAUGUCUUGCCGCUAACGUUGCGCCUCAGGGUACCAGGGCGAACCCUGUUGUAUUGUAGCCCUUAUUCCUCUACAACGGACCUCGGGGGGAUGGACCGUUAUUUGUCCUAUACUCGUGGGAAUAACAUGAAGAAAACAGAAACAACUACACAAAGAAAACGACGUUUAGAGAAGGCGAAAUUGAAGAGGAAUUAAGAGGAAGAGGAAUAAAGAAGAAUUGAUGCUGUGUUACCGAUGUAACAAUCACAUAAGUAAAAGUAACACGUCCGUACCUCCUUCUAAGGCAUAUUGGAACAGCUUGGAACCUGGGCCUAUACCUCACGUUAUACAACGUUUGUCGCAAACUGAAAAGCGCCUUCUUUCUCGGAUAAUACCAUUUUUAAAAAUUGUUAAGUUUGACGGCUUGUUUGGACAAUACGGGUUUCGUGAUCAAGCAAUUCUUUUUGCUCAGGAUCUUUUCGAGGUUACCGAAAAACUGCCACAUAUGUUGCCUAGAUCUGUAAACAACUGUGGAAUUGUGAUUUGUUACAGAGCAUCUAGAGAAUUUAAAUAUUACUCGUGAGUUUUCAGUGUCUCGCGACAAUGUGUUCGAGGCUUUGACAUGGUUGGUGGCCAAUAAUCCGUUAUACAAAGAUGUAAUUAUAGACAACAACGCAAAUCUAUGAGUUAGGUCUUUAGCAGGUCUUCAAAUCGAAGAACUUGACUGCUCCAAGUCGACGUCGAAAAAACCUUGUAAUGUUGAUGCAUUAAAAUAAAUGGAUAGAAUGAGAAACGUUACAAAUAACUAACAAGGGAUUACAUAAUUUCAACAUUAUUGAUAUUUAAAUCAGUACAUAUUACAUAUCAUGUGAACGAACUAGGGACUUCAUAACGGAAUAACGCUGCUACGCGCUGCGAACUACGUCGUAGUAAAUCUCGAAUUAAAAAUAGAGGUACUAAAAAGUUAAAAAUAAAAUUAAAGAAAAAAAAAACCUUUUUAAAAACAAGCUUUUAUUUAAAUGCUCUAAAAAGAAAAAAAUAAAAAUUUUACACUAAACUUUUACUGUUAACUUAUAACGUCAUUUCAAAUUUAACACAUUUGACACAAUUUAUAUAUUAUAAAAGCUUGUCGCGAGAUCUAAGUAUUCGUAACUGCUGCCUAUUAAAAUUAUAAAACUAAGAAAAUACGAAUACUUAGUAAUACGAAUACUUAUAUAAUUAUAUAUUCUCUAUAAUUAAUAGAUCUCGCGACUAGCUUUUAUAAUAUAUAAAUUGUGUCAAAUGUGUUAAAUUUGAAAUGACGUUAUAAGUUAACAGUAAAAGUUUAGUGUAAAAUUUUUAUUUUUUUCUUUUUAGAGCAUUUAAAUAAAAGCUUGUUUUUAAAAAGGUUUUUUUUUUCUUUAAUUUU
rnacentral:lncRNA from 1 species